rnacentral:rRNA from 1 species
GACGAACGCUGGCGGCGUGCCUAAUACAUGCAAGUAGAACGCUGAAGGAGGAGCUUGCUUCUCUGGAUGAGUUGCGAACGGGUGAGUAACGCGUAGGUAACCUGCCUGGUAGCGGGGGAUAACUAUUGGAAACGAUAGCUAAUACCGCAUAACAGUAGAUAUCGCAUGAUAUCUACUUGAAAGGUGCAAUUGCAUCACUACCAGAUGGACCUGCGUUGUAUUAGCUAGUUGGUGAGGUAACGGCUCACCAAGGCGACGAUACAUAGCCGACCUGAGAGGGUGAUCGGCCACACUGGGACUGAGACACGGCCCAGACUCCUACGGGAGGCAGCAGUAGGGAAUCUUCGGCAAUAGACGGAAGUCUGACCGAGCAACGCCGCGUGAGUGAAGAAGGUUUUCGGAUCGUAAAGCUCUGUUGUAAGAGAAGAGCGAGUGUGAGAGUGGAAAGUUCACACUGUGACGGUAUCUUACCAGAAAGGGACGGCUAACUACGUG